AGUAAGUGGAGUGUCUGUCCGAGUGGGCCACAAGUGUAGAAAAGGGCAACUGCCCCUCCAAGGCACAACAUUCCAGCUGUAUUUCCCCUCUGGCCCUAAGGAACCAGCUCCUGAGAGCUGCAGGAAGUUACCAAGCAUCGAAUCACAUCGGUGGGGGAGGGCACUGGGGGAGGGUGUGUAGGGAAGGCUCGUGAUUGUUACAGAAUUUGUAGAAUUGCCUCAAAGGCUGGUCUUGAAUUCCGAGUGACACACUGCUGUGUUCCCAAACCACGUUUCCUCUCUGGAUUCUCCUUUCUAGGUUACCAGUAAGGACAAAGACCUGCACCAGAAGAUCUACCAGAUCAUUAAGGAAGACUGUCAGAAACCAAAUC
rnacentral:lncRNA from 1 species